GCGGAACUCGUUUUAUAAAAGCCACCAAUGAAGUAAGCAAAGGACCAAUUCCGAUGAGACCAAUAAGUGAGAUGAUUCCUUGUCUUGGAUUAAUAACAAGCCAUUUUAACGAAUAAAACUAUUUCAACUAAUCAUAUGGUGGAGAACGUUACAUACGAAAUGUGUGAGGAAUAAAAGCCGAUGAUAAAUAAAUAUGACCAAGAAGAGCGAGCACACGUAAGGAAACCCUUGCACAGUGAAUAAAAAGCAGAUCUUGAGGCUCGCCAUCAUCACCACAUGGAAUCAACUUUUUGGUGUUUUCAAUAAUUGAAAAAGAAGCCAAAACCGGUGAAACAUUAUCAGGAUAAAUGUGAGUCACCAAGGUUGAACUCAGCACAAAAAGUGUUAAUAUUGUGAAGAUGAUCCUGAAAUUGGCAAAAUAUCAGUAAACUCUAAUACAUUGCAAUAAUCUAUCAAUAUAUUUACAGAUUUAACCUUUAAUUGCAUGUACCUUCUAAUACUCAUUAGACAAUAUCUUACAUAAUUAUACACUGUACAUCACAAUUGACUUAUCAAUAAUAGACUUAUACUGACUUUACUUACAAGCGAUUUCUUGAUAUUUGAUUGAACGCGGACCAUCCGUAAUAUAAUUUUUUUCACAAGAACUUACUUUCGGUGUGAUACGAGUUCCCUGAAAAGCUUAUUUAAAUGAUGAUCAAAAGGUAUUAGCGUAAUUAAAGGGGUUUAAGUUGUUAAACCUAGUUGGAUGGGCAAUAAUUACCUCUGUUGGUUACUGUUUGUCCACUCAUUUCAAUUUUGAAUUAUUUGGUUUCACUGAUGAGAUUGGCACUUAAAUUGAACUUACAUUUAUAAGCCCAAACUUUACGCUGGUUCAGUCCAUUAUGAAUUUUAUGGAGAUCGCUUAAACACUGCUGCGAAACUGGUAAAUCCCAAUUGCUUGUUAUAUUUUCAACUAACUGACAAACAAUAUCCUUUUGUGGCUACAACAGUUUAUCCAAAGCGUCCGCUGAUGAGAUCCAUUGUUGAACUAGUCCAGGAUCAUUGAGAAUCUGAAGGUUAUCAACCGAUGAAAU